rnacentral:lncRNA from 1 species
CCCAAGCCCCCGGCCGCGCCCUGUCGCUCAGCUGGGGCAAGGAGGAACUCUCCUGACGCCAGAGUUGGCUCAGGCCACUGGAGAAUCAAGGUGAGGGACUGAGGCCGGGUCGGCCCGGGUCCUCGCCUCAUAAGGCGGGAUGUGGGGUGGAACUGGAGGCUUGCGGAGCUGUUUGAGUUUCAGGCGGCUUCCCAAGUCUCGCCCGAGAGGGUCCCCUGGGUGGCCCCACUCCUCCAAGCGGCAGCAGCGCAGCUGCUUUCUCGGAACCCGGCGUGAUCCCCGGAGACCGCAGACCGGGGAGGGCCGGCUUCUCCCAGUCUCAGGGGUGCCGGGGAGCUCUCUCUUUGCGACGCCGAGGGCAGCGGG